CCUACGGGAGGCAGCAGUGAGGAAUAUUGGUCAAUGGGCGCGAGCCUGAACCAGCCAAGUCGCGUGAGGGACGCAGGUUCUAUGCAUUGUAAACUUCUUUUAUCAAGGGACAAAGUCAGGGUCGUGUCCUAUUCUGUAUGUACUUUAUGAAUAAGGAUCGGCUAACUCCGUGCCAGCAGCCGCGGUAAUACGGAGGAUCCGAGCGUUAUCCGGAUUUAUUGGGUUUAAAGGGUGCGUAGGCGGCCUGUUAAGUCAGCGGUGAAAGGCUGUGGCACAAACAUCGAAGGGCCGUUGAAACUGGGGGGCUUGAGAAUGUGAGAGGCAGGCGGAAUGCGUGGUGUAGCGGUGAAAUGCUGAGAUAUCGCGCAGAACCCCGAUUGCGAAGGCAGCAUACC
rnacentral:rRNA from 1 species